UAGACUAGAGGAUGUUAGAGAAUAGCAUUAGGUCAGUUAGACUAGAGGAUGUUAGAGAAUAGCAUUAGGUCAGUUAGACUAGAGGAUGUUAGAGAAUAGCAUUAGGUCAGCUAGACUAGAGGAUGUUAGAGAAUAGCAUUAGGUCAGCUAGACUAGAGGAUGUUAGAGAAUAGCAUUAGGUCAGCUAGACUAGACGAUGUUAGAGAAUAGCAUUAGGUCAGUUAGACUAGAGGAUGUUAGAGAAUAGCAUUAGGUCAGCUAGACUAGAGGAUGUUAGAGAAUAGCAUUAGGUCAGCUAGACUAGAGGAUGUUAGAGAAUAGCAUUAGGUCAGCUAGACUAGAGGAUGUUAGAGAAUAGCAUUAGGUCAGUUAGACUAGAGGAUGUUAGAGAAUAGCAUUAGGUCAGCUAGACUAGAGGAUGUUAGAGAAUAGCAUUAGGUCAGUUAGACUAGAGGAUGUUAGAGAAUAGCAUUAGGUCAGCUAGACUAGACGAUGUUAGAGAAUAGCAUUAGGUCAGCUAGACUAGACGAUGUUAGAGAAUAGCAUUAGGUCAGCUAGACUAAACGAUGUUAGAGAAUAGCAUUAGGUCAGUUAGACUAGAGGAUGUUAGAGAAUAGCAUUAGGUCAGCUAGACUAGACGAUGUUAGAGAAUAGCAUUAGGUCAGCUAGACUAGACGAUGUUAGAGAAUAGCAUUAGGUCAGUUAGACUAGAGGAUGUUAGAGAAUAGCAUUAGGUCAGCUAGACUAGAGGAUGUUAGAGAAUAGCAUUAGGUCAGUUAGACUAGAGGAUGUUAGAGAAUAGCAUUAGGUCAGCUAGACUAGAGGAUGUUAGAGAAUAGCAUUAGGUCAGCUAGACUAGAGGAUGUUAGAGAAUAGCAUUAGGUCAGCUAGACUAGAGGAUGUUAGAGAAUAGCAUUAGGUCAGCUAGACUAGACGAUGUUAGAGAAUAGCAUUAGGUCAGCUAGACUAGACGAUGUUAGAGAAUAGCAUUAGGUCAGCUAGACUAGACGAUGUUAGAGAAUAGCAUUAGGUCAGCUAGACUAGACGAUGUUAGAGAAUAGCAUUAGGUCAGCUAGACUAGACGAUGUUAGAGAAUAGCAUUAGGUCAGCUAGACUAGAGGAUGUUAGAGAAUAGCAUUAGGUCAGUUAGACUAGAGGAUGUUAGAGAAUAGCAUUAGGUCAGCUAGACUAGACGAUGUUAGAGAAUAGCAUUAGGUCAGCUAGACUAGAGGAUGUUAGAGAAUAGCAUUAGGUCAGCUAGACUAGACGAUGUUAGAGAAUAGCAUUAGGUCAGCUAGACUAGAGGAUGUUAGAGAAUAGCAUUAGGUCAGCUAGACUAGAGGAUGUUAGAGAAUAGCAUUAGGUCAGCUAGACUAGAGGAUGUUAGAGAAUAGCAUUAGGUCAGCUAGACUAGAGGAUGUUAGAGAAUAGCAUUAGGUCAGCUAGACUAGAGGAUGUUAGAGAAUAGCAUUAGGUCAGCUAGACUAGAGGAUGUUAGAGAAUAGCAUUAGGUCAGCUAGACUAGAGGAUGUUAGAGAAUAGCAUUAGGUCAGCUAGACUAGAGGAUGUUAGAGAAUAGCAUUAGGUCAGCUAGACUAGACGAUGUUAGAGAAUAGCAUUAGGUCAGCUAGACUAGAGGAUGUUAGAGAAUAGCAUUAGGUCAGCUAGACUAGAGGAUGUUAGAGAAUAGCAUUAGGUCAGCUAGACUAGACGAUGUUAGAGAAUAGCAUUAGGUCAGCUAGACUAGACGAUGUUAGAGAAUAGCAUUAGGUCAGCUAGACUAGAGGAUGUUAGAGAAUAGCAUUAGGUCAGUUAGACUAGACGAUGUUAGAGAAUAGCAUUAGGUCAGCUAGACUAGAGGAUGUUAGAGAAUAGCAUUAGGUCAGCUAGACUAGAGGAUGUUAGAGAAUAGCAUUAGGUCAGCUAGACUAGAGGAUGUUAGAGAAUAGCAUUAGGUCAGUUAGACUAGAGGAUGUUAGAGAAUAGCAUUAGGUCAGCUAGACUAGAGGAUGUUAGAGAAUAGCAUUAGGUCAGCUAGACUAGAGGAUGUUAGAGAAUAGCAUUAGGUCAGCUAGACUAGAGGAUGUUAGAGAAUAGCAUUAGGUCAGCUAGACUAGAGGAUGUUAGAGAAUAGCAUUAGGUCAGCUAGACUAGAGGAUGUUAGAGAAUAGCAUUAGGUCAGCUAGACUAGAGGAUGUUAGAGAAUAGCAUUAGGUCAGCUAGACUAGAGGAUGUUAGAGAAUAGCAUUAGGUCAGCUAGACUAGAGGAUGUUAGAGAAUAGCAUUAGGUCAGUUAGACUAGACGAUGUUAGAGAAUAGCAUUAGGUCAGUUAGACUAGAGGAUGUUAGAGAAUAGCAUUAGGUCAGCUAGACUAGACGAUGUUAGAGAAUAGCAUUAGGUCAGCUAGACUAAACGAUGUUAGAGAAUAGCAUUAGGUCAGCUAGACUAGACGAUGUUAGAGAAUAGCAUUAGGUCAGCUAGACUAGACGAUGUUAGAGAAUAGCAUUAGGCGCACAUUCAAUCUGUGUAAUCUAGAACAUCCUACUGUCACGCAGUAACGCAAACUAGCGGUAUAUUAACUAGAACUAAACGGAAUCAGGAAAUGAGUGCCCACUGCUAUUUAAUUGCAGAUCCCGACUUCAUUCCGCUUUGAUUAACCAUUCAGAACAUGAAGAAUCAUAUUUGUCUUGGUAAAAUGUAUUUUAUAGCAUAUGGAAGUUACAUUUAAUCACCAACGCGCGUGUUUACCCACUUUACGCAGAGUGGUGGACCCCCUACAUUAUGGCUAUUUUAAAACUGUGUAGGGUAGUAGGGGGUAACUAGCUGUAAUUCACAUAAAGACCACAAGAUGUCACUAAAUUAUUUUCGCAACACUUUCUCAGGCUGUCACUGUUCUUGCUGAACAAAAUAAAUGUCCUCAAUGUCAUCACACUUUUGAGACAAUUCAACAAAACGAUUGUGGUAAAUUGAUCAAAUUUUUUUGAAAUGUUGAAAAAGUUGUAGAUAUAUUCCA